UUCGGCAAGUUGGAUGUGAAAGCUCCUGGCUCAACUAGGAGAGGUCGUUYCAAAACYACGAACUUGAGGGCAUCAGAGGRAAAGURGAAUUCCCGGUGUAGUGGUGAAAUGCGUAGAUAUCGGGAGGAACACCAGUGGCGAAAGCGACUUUCUGGGAUGCAUCUGACGCUCAGACGCGAAAGCUAGGGUAGCAAACGGGAUUAGAGACCCCGGUAGUCCUAGCAGUAAACGAUGUAGACUUGGUGUCGGUAGUGUCAAAGCUAUCGGUAUCGAAGCUAACGCGAUAAGUCUACCGCCUGGGGACUACGGCCGCAAGGUUAAAACUCAAAGGAAUUGACGGGGCCCCGCACAAGCAGCGGAGCGUGUGGUUUAAUUCGAUGCUACACGAAGAACCUUACCCAGGUUUGACAUGUUGGUGGUAGGAAACCGAAAGGGGACCGACCCGCAAGGGAGCCUUCACAGGUGCUGCAUGGCUGUCGUCAGCUCGUGUCGUGAGAUGUUCGGUUAAGUCCGCUAACGAGCGCAACCCUCGCCGCGUGUUAUACGUGUCACGCGGAACCGCCGGUAUCAAGCCGGAGGAAGGUGGGGAUGACGUCAAGUCAGCAUGGCCUUUAUGUCUGGGGCUACACACACGCUACAAUGGUCGGUACAAUGGGUUGCUAAGCCGCGAGGUAGAGCCAAUCCCCAAAGCCGGCCUCAGUUCAGAUCACAGGCUGCAACUCGCCUGUGUGAAGUCGGAGUUGCUAGUAAACGCGCGUCAGCUAUAGUGCGUUGAAUACGUUCUCGGGGCUUGUACACACCGCCCGUCACGUCAUGGGAGCUGGUAACACCUGAAGCCGGUAGCUUAACCGWAAGGAGGGCGCUGUCGAAGGUGGUGCUGGUGACUGGGMCSAAGURGUAACAAGGUAGC
rnacentral:rRNA from 1 species